AUUGAACGCUGGCGGCAGGCCUAAUACAUGCAAGUCGAGCGGAGCGGCGGACGGGUGAGUAAUGCCUAGGAAUCUGCCCGGUAGUGGGGGACAACGUCCGGAAACGGGCGCUCAUACCGCAUACUAUCAGAUGAGCCUCGGUGGGAUUAGCUAGUUGGUGGGGUAAAGGCCUACCAAGUCGACGAUCCGUAACUGGUCUGAGAGGAUGAUCAGUCACACUGGAAUUGAGACACGGUCCAGACUCCUACGGGAGGCAGCAGUGGGGAAGAUUGGACAAUGGGCGAAAGCCUGAUCCAGCCAUGCAGCGUGAGUGAAGAAGGUUUUCGGAUUGUAAAGCACUUUAAGUUGGGAGGCGGUACCAACAGAGUAAGCAACGGCUAACUUCGUGCCAGCAGCCGCGGUAAUAA
rnacentral:rRNA from 1 species